UACGGAGGGUGCGAGCGUUGUCCGGAAUCAUUGGGCGUAAAGGGCGCGUAGGUGGCCCCCUCAAGCGUGCGGUGAAAGUCAGGGGGCUCAACCCCUGAUCGGCCGUGCGAACUGGGGAGCUUGAGCACUGUAGAGGCAGGCGGAAUUCCGGGUGUAGCGGUGGAAUGCGUAGAGAUCCGGAAGAACACCGGUGGCGAAGGCGGCCUUCUGGACAGUGACUGACGCUGAGACGCGAAAGCGUGGGGAGCAAACAGG
rnacentral:rRNA from 1 species